UCUCUAUUUACUAAGGAUUGAAG
rnacentral:piRNA from 1 species